CCCAGCUGCCUACCAGGGUGUAACGACACUUUGAGCAACCCUCCCGUUUUGCAACACGGUGCAGUUCCUGCCGCAUAAGGAAACCAUCUGUGCUCA